GACGAACGCUGGCGGCGUGCUUAACACAUGCAAGUCGAACGAAGUGGCGAACGGGUGAGUAACGCGUAAUCAACCUGCCCUUCAGAGGGGGACAACAGUUGGAAACGACUGCUAAUACCGCAUACUGAAGGAGGGGUUUGCGUCUGAUUAGCUAGUUGGAGGGGUAACGGCCCACCAAGGGGAAGAUCAGUAGCCUGUCUGGGGGGGUGAACGGCCAAAUUGGGACUUGGACACGGCCCAGACUCCUACGGGGAGCAGCAGGGGGGAAACUUCCGCAAAGGGCGAAAGUCUGACGGAGCAACGCCGCGGGGGUGAUAACGGCCUUCGGGUUGUAAAGCUCUGUUAAUCGGGACGCGGUACCGGAAUAGAAAGCCACGGCUAACUACGUGCCAGCCGCCGCGGUAAUUC
rnacentral:rRNA from 1 species